UAUAUGGUUGAACUUGCCCCACCUGCAGUUACCCCCUUCCCUGCUCCAUCUGAGGAAGGUACAUCUUCUGAUAUCUAUGCAUCACUCUCUGCAUCACCAAUAGCUGCAGAUAUGGAACCUAAGGGGUCUGAUCAAGAAAGUCUCCUGGGGGAGCCCAGCCCAGAGGCAGAGUCCUUCGAGGCAGGUGCUGUGGCUGGUUUGACUGGUGAAGAUCAGAAGCUCACAGUCUUUCCGAAUCCCAAAUGAAAUUAUUGGCAACCUUGAGGCGGACUUAAAUGAAAAGCAGCAAAUGCAAGAAGCUUAAACUUUGAGGACAGAAAAAUUAAAAGGUCUUAACUACCCAAAUGA